AUGUUUCAAAAUAGCUUUCUUUUAGUAUUCAAAAUUUCAAAUAUAUGAAUUGUUGAAUUGUUUCUAUUCAGCUCUAAAAAAAUUGUUGAAUGCAUUGGAUCAUACCCAGUAGCAUUAAUUUCAAGAAUGUACAUAGAGUGUGAUUUGGAGGAAGAAGCAGUUUGUACGUUGUAGUGUCUCAACAUUUGGAAUAGACUUGAGUUACACUCGGUCAAUAUUACAGAAAAUCCACUGUAAUGGAGAGAACAAUUUUUUUAGAGCUGCUUCAGAAUAACCUUGUGUUCAAAUGUUGAGAGUAUAACCUUGUGUUCAAAUGUUCUUUGCAAAAGAAAUGGUAUUUGGGGAGAAAUUUGUUUUAUACAUCUGGAAUAAAAAUGUGAGUUUUAUGGAGUCGAAAAGUACACUUUUGAACAAAUUAUGUCAUCCAAAAGCAUAUACUCCAGAACCAUGUGUUAUGUUUUAGAAAUGUGGUGGAUUUCAGAGGUAGCCUCCAAUAUUUAGGUCACCAAGCUUCUUGCUAUUACACUAUUCCUUUGUCUUCCUGAGUUCAAAAUAGAUGAUAGCUAAUUUACAGACGAAAAUAAACGAAAACGUGAAAAGACUGGGC
rnacentral:lncRNA from 1 species